rnacentral:lncRNA from 1 species
ACAAUAACAAUAAUGACCUAAAAUAAACAUAUGCUUAAGUAACAUGUUGUCGUGGAUGGUUACCGAAAGUUGUAACACAAUUCGAAAGCAUAUAUCUUCUUAUAUACCCAAAUUUUCUAGGUUAUUCUCCCUUCUUCUCCUGCAAAGCAAAACAUGUGGUUUUCCCACUUCCACGCAUCUCUUUCAAUAAUUCUCCACAAAAAAAAAAAAAAAAUAUUAACAAUUUUAAUUAAUUAAGGGUUUCAUCAAUGCUGAUCUGUAAAUGCAUCAUAUGUCCUUGCUUCAUAAUUAUCAUCGCUAAUCUAUAUUAUCAUUUUCGUGUUAGCUCACCUUAAAUCAGUGGUGUCCACUACUUUUCUUUUCC